UAGAGGGGCUCCCAGAAUGCAUCACUGGC
rnacentral:piRNA from 1 species